rnacentral:lncRNA from 1 species
GGCUGCAGACGAGGCGGAGGACGCAGCGGCGGCUGCAGGCUUGCGACGACCGACACGAUGGCGGGUGGAUCCUGCUAGUCUGUGGUGGCCGGCGGUUGUGUCGUUGGGUUCGAGGGACAAGGCCGCAAGAAGGACGGCGACGCUCUUCUUCUUUCCGGCAACGGGAACCACUCGUGGCCCGUCGACAUGCUCCGGUGUCCGUGGUCGGGGCACCGCGUAGAGCUCGUGCGCCAAUGGAAUCCGGGGAUCCGGCGAUCCUCGGCCAUACACCGAUGGCUGCCGGUGGUGGAGGCAGUGGACGCGAUGAUGGGUGGACGGGGAAACCGAGGGAUUCUUCUUUUCCUUCUUCUAUUUUGAAACCGAGGGGUUGUUCCCCUCUGUCCCUUCUUGUGAGAACCGAGAGAGGAUAGGGAGAGUGAGGGACCCCUUAUUUUUCUGGUGAGCAGAACUGACAAAGGAAAGGAAAAGGGAAAAAGUGGAUCGGGGCUUUGUCAAUAGAAGCAAAACUGCUUCGCUCUGAUACCAAGUUGGUGCCGAACCAGAUCUGGGAAGGAUGACUGCGGUGGUGAUGAAGUACUUUGGGAUUACCACUGUACGUUAUAGUUGUAAGAUGGAAAC